rnacentral:rRNA from 1 species
AUGAACGCUAGCUACAGGCUUAACACAUGCAAGUCGAGGGGCAGCAUUUUAGUUUGCUUGCAAACUGAAGAUGGCGACCGGCGCACGGGUGAGUAACACGUAUCCAACCUGCCGAUAACUCCGGAAUAGCCUUUCGAAAGAAAGAUUAAUACCGGAUGGCAUACGAAUAUCGCAUGAUAUUUUUAUUAAAGAAUUUCGGUUAUCGAUGGGGAUGCGUUCCAUUAGUUUGUUGGCGGGGUAACGGCCCACCAAGACUACGAUGGAUAGGGGUUCUGAGAGGAAGGUCCCCCACAUUGGAACUGAGACACGGUCCAAACUCCUACGGGAGGCAGCAGUGAGGAAUAUUGGUCAAUGGGCGCGAGCCUGAACCAGCCAAGUAGCGUGAAGGAUGAAGGCUCUAUGGGUCGUAAACUUCUUUUAUAUGGGAAUAAAGUUUUCCACGUGUGGAAUUUUGUAUGUACCAUAUGAAUAAGGAUCGGCUAACUCCGUGCCAGCAGCCGCGGUAAUACGGAGGAUCCGAGCGUUAUCCGGAUUUAUUGGGUUUAAAGGGAGCGUAGGUGGAUUGUUAAGUCAGUUGUGAAAGUUUGCGGCUCAACCGUAAAAUUGCAGUUGAAACUGGCAGUCUUGAGUACAGUAGAGGUGGGCGGAAUUCGUGGUGUAGCGGUGAAAUGCUUAGAUAUCACGAAGAACUCCGAUUGCGAAGGCAGCUCACUAGACUGUCACUGACACUGAUGCUCGAAAGUGUGGGUAUCAAACAGGAUUAGAUACCCUGGUAGUCCACACAGUAAACGAUGAAUACUCGCUGUUUGCGAUAUACAGUAAGCGGCCAAGCGAAAGCAUUAAGUAUUCCACCUGGGGAGUACGCCGGCAACGGUGAAACUCAAAGGAAUUGACGGGGGCCCGCACAAGCGGAGGAACAUGUGGUUUAAUUCGAUGAUACGCGAGGAACCUUACCCGGGCUUAAAUUGCAACAGAAUAUAUUGGAAACAGUAUAGCCGUAAGGCUGUUGUGAAGGUGGUGCAUGGUUGUCGUCAGCUCGUGUCGUGAGAUGUUGGGUUAAGUCCCGCAACGAGCGCAACCCUUAUUGCCAGUUACUACGAAAGAGGACUCUGGCGAGACUGCCGUUGACAAAACGGAGGAAGGUGGGGAUGACGUCAAAUCAGCACGGCCCUUACGUCCGGGGCUACACACGUGUUACAAUGGGGGGUACAGAAGGCGGCUACCUGGUGACAGGAUGCUAAUCCCAAAAACCUCUCUCAGUUCGGAUCGAAGUCUGCAACCCGACUUCGUGAAGCUGGAUUCGCUAGUAAUCGCGCAUCAGCCAUGGCGCGGUGAAUACGUUCCCGGGCCUUGUACACACCGCCCGUCAAGCCAUGAAAGCCGGGGGUACCUGAAGUACGUAACCGCAAGGAGCGUCCUAGGGUAAAACUGGUAAUUGGGGCU